GGCUGCGUGGCUCAGUCGGUUAGAGCGUCGUGUUAAUAACGUGAAUGUCGAGGGUUUGCUCCCCUACGGGGCCA
rnacentral:tRNA from 1 species